rnacentral:rRNA from 1 species
GACGAACGCUGGCGGCGUGCUUAACACAUGCAAGUCGAACGGAAAGGCCCUGCUUUUGUGGGGUGCUCGAGUGGCGAACGGGUGAGUAACACGUGAGUAACCUGCCCUUGACUUUGGGAUAACUUCAGGAAACUGGGGCUAAUACCGGAUAGGAGCUCCUGCUGCAUGGUGGGGGUUGGAAAGUUUCGGCGGUUGGGGAUGGACUCGCGGCUUAUCAGCUUGUUGGUGGGGUAGUGGCUUACCAAGGCUUUGACGGGUAGCCGGCCUGAGAGGGUGACCGGCCACAUGGGGACUGAGAUACGGCCCAGACUCCUACGGGAGGCAGCAGUGGGGAAUAUGGCACAAUGGGCGGAAGCCGGAUGCAGCAACGCCGCGUGCGGGAUGACGGCCUUCGGGUUGUAAACCGCUUUCGCCUGUGACGAAGCGUGAGUGACGGUAAUGGGUAAAGAAGCACCGGCUAACUACGUG